AUUGAACGCUGGCGGCAUGCUUUACACAUGCAAGUCGAACGGUAACAGGCCUUCGGGUGCUGACGAGUGGCGAACGGGUGAGUAAUGCAUCGGAACGUACCCAGAGGUGGGGGAUAACGCAGCGAAAGCUGUGCUAAUACCGCAUGUGAUCUGAGGAUGAAAGCGGGGGACCGAGCAGCAAUGUUUGGCCUCGCGCCUUUGGAGCGGCCGAUGUCGGAUUAGCUAGUUGGUGGGGUAAAGGCCUACCAAGGCGACGAUCCGUAGCUGGUCUGAGAGGACGACCAGCCACACUGGGACUGAGACACGGCCCAGACUCCUACGGGAGGCAGCAAUGGGGAAUUUUGGACAAUGGGCGCAAGCCUGAUCCAGCAAUGCCGCGUGCGGGAAGAAGGCCUUCGGGUUGUAAACCGCUUUUGGCAGGAACGAAACGGUGUCCGCUAAUACCGGGCGCUAAUGACGGUACCUGCAGAAUAAGCACCAGCUAACUACGUG
rnacentral:rRNA from 1 species